GGAUGCAACGCGACCGUCUUCCCACAGCAACGAAAGACUGCGACUCUCCGGACUAUCAGGCCGGGAGAGUCCACUUCCAGCUCACCUCGGAGCUCCGGGAGCCCUUCAGCACCUGCUUGGUGAGCGCGAUUACGUCAGUACCACAGGUGGUCACCUUCUCCGUGAGAAGCCCCUUCACGGACUGACCGAACCGCGCUUGAGAAUCUGCCGUUCCAGUCGCCAUCAUUUCAGUUAGCGAACGCUUCCGCACGGGCGAUGAUGGAGUCUUGCUCUGUCGCCCAGGCUGGAGUGCAGUGGUGCAAUCUCGGCUCACUAUAAGCUCCGCCUCCCAGGUUCACACCAUUCUCCUGCCUCAGUCUCCGGAGUAGCUGGGACUACAAGUGCCUGCCACCAUGCCCUGGCUAAUUUUUUGUAUUUUUAGUAGAGACGGAGUUUCACCAUGUUAGCCAGGAUGUUCUCGAUCUCCUGACCUUGUGAUCUGCUGGCCUUGGCCUCCCAAAGUGCUGGGAUUAUAGGCGUGAGCCACCAUGCCCAGCCAGGAAUUCUCUCAGUUAUGAAAUCUUGCAGAGAAGUUAUUUUU
rnacentral:antisense_RNA from 1 species